AGGGUGCAGGGCGGAUGCCUUGGCACUAGGAGCCGAUGAAGGACGUGAUAAGCUGCGAUAAGCUUCGGGGAGUUGCACGUAAACUUUGAUCCGAAGAUUUCCGAAUGAGGAAACUCACUUAGAGUAAUGUCUAAGUAUCAUUAAGUGAAUACAUAGCUUAAUGAGGGGAACUCAGGGAACUGAAACAUCUAAGUACCUGAAGGAAGAGAAAGAAAUUCGAUUCUGUAAGUAGCGGCGAGCGAACGCGGAUUAGCCCAAACCAAUAAAGUUUUCUUUAUUGGGGUUGCGGACAUAUCAUAACGAAGAGGUAUCGUAAUUGAAGAGGUUUGGAAAGACCCACCACAGAAGGUAAUAGUCCUGUAUGUUAAACGAGAAGACUUCAGAUAUGAUCCAGAGUACCACGGGACACGUGAAACCCUGUGGGAAGCAGGAGGGACCACCCUCCAAGGCUAAAUACUACCUAGUGACCGAUAGCGUAUAGUACCGUGAGGGAAAGGUGAAAAGAACCCCGGGAGGGGAGUGAAAUAGAACCUGAAACCCUGCACUUACAAGCUGUGGAAGCACAUUUCUUGUGUGACCGCGUACUUUUUGUAGAACGGGCCAACGAGUUACGUUAAGUAGCAAGGUUAAGCACUUAAGGUGCGGAGCCGUAGCGAAAGCGAGUUUUAACUGAGCGUUCAGUUACUUGACGUAGACCCGAAACCGGGCGACCUACCCAUGAGCAGGAUGAAGCGAAAGUAAAAUUUCGUGGAGGUCCGAACCCACGAGCGUUGAAAAGCUCGGGGAUGACUUGUGGGUAGCGGUGAAAUUCCAAUCGAGCCCGGAGAUAGCUGGUUCUCCCCGAAAUAGCUUUAGGGCUAGCCUCAAGGUGAGAGAUACGGAGGUAGAGCACUGAAUGUCCUAGGGGGUAUUGCACCUACCGAAGACUAUCAAACUCCGAAUGCCGUCAUCUUAUACUUGGGAGUCAGACUGUGGGUGAUAAGAUUCAUAGUCGAAAGGGCAACAGCCCAGAUCGUCAGCUAAGGUCCCUAAAUGUAAGUUAAGUGGUAAAGGAUGUGGGAUUGCACAGACAACCAGGAUGUUGGCUUAGAAGCAGCCACUCAUUCAAAGAGUGCGUAAUAGCUCACUGGUCGAGUGAUCCUGCGCCGAAGAUUUCCGGGGCUAAAACUUACUACCGAAGCUACGGCAUCAGUAAUGAUGGGUAGGGGAGCUUCCCAUACGGGUUGAAGCAUGACCGUAAGGACAUGUGGACAGUAUGGGAGUGAGAAUGUUGGCAUGAGUAGCGAGAUGUGGGUGAGAAUCCCACAGGCCGUAAACCCAAGGUUUCCAGGGGAAGGUUCGUCCGCCCUGGGUUAGUCGGGACCUAAGCUGAGGCCGAAAGGCGUAGGUGAUGGACAACAGGUUGAUAUUCCUGUACUACCGAUAACCGUUUGAGAGAAGGGAUGACACAGUAGGAUAAGCUAAGCACACUGUUGGUUAUGUGUGCCCAAGCAUUGAGGCAGUCAAAGUAGGCAAAUCCGCUUUGAUAAUGCUGGGAUGUGAUGGGGAGCGAAAUUUAGUAGCGAAGUAGCUGAUUUCACACUGUCAAGAAAAGUCUCUAUCGAGGUUAAAGGUACCCGUACCGCAAACCGACACAGGUGGGUGAGGAGAGUAUCCUAAGGCCAGCGAGAGAACUGUUGUUAAGGAACUCGGCAAAAUGACCCCGUAACUUAGGGAUAAGGGGUGCCACCAUCAGGUGGCCGCAGAGAAUAGGCCCAAGCGACUGUUUACCAAAAACAUAGGUUUCUGCUAAGUCGCAAGACGAUGUAUAGGAGCUGACGCCUGCCCGGUGCUGGAAGGUUAAGGGGAUCUGUUAGAGCAAUCGAAGCAGUGAACUUAAGCCCCAGUAAACGGCGGCCGUAACUAUAACGGUCCUAAGGUAGCGAAAUUCCUUGUCGGGUAAGUUCCGACCCGCACGAAAGGCGUAACGAUUUGGGCACUGUCUCAACAACAGACUCGGUGAAAUUGUAAUUCCGGUGAAGAUGCCGGAUACCUGCGACAGGACGGAAAGACCCCAUGGAGCUUUACUGUAGCUUGACAUUGGGUCUUGGUACUACAUGUACAGGAUAGGUGGGAGGCUUUGAAACCAGGACGCCAGUUUUGGCGGAGCCAUCCUUGGGAUACCACCCUUGUAGUACUGGGACUCUAACCAUAGGCCAUGAAUCUGGUCUUGGGACACUGUCAGGUGGGCAGUUUGACUGGGGCGGUCGCCUCCCAAAAGGUAACGGAGGCGCUCAAAGGUUCUCUCAGUACGGUCGGAAAUCGUACGUAGAGUGUAAAGGCAAAAGAGAGCUUGAUUGCAAGACAUACAGGUCGAGCAAGGAUGAAAAUCGGACUUAGUGAUCCGGUGGUUCUGCGUGGAAGGGCCAUCGCUCAACGGAUAAAAGCUACCCUGGGGAUAACAGGCUUAUCUCCCCCAAGAGUCCACAUCGACGGGGAGGUUUGGCACCUCGAUGUCGGCUCAUCACAUCCUGGGGCUGUAGUAGGUCCCAAGGGUUGGGCUGUUCGCCCAUUAAAGUGGUACGCGAGCUGGGUUCAGAACGUCGUGAGACAGUUCGGUCCCUAUCCGUCGCAGGCGUAGGAAAUUUGAGAAGACCUGUCCUUAGUACGAGAGGACCGGGAUGGACGUACCUCUGGUGUACCAGUUGUCCUGCCAAGGGCAUGGCUGGGUAGCUAUGUACGGAAUGGAUAAGCGCUGAAAGCAUCUAAGCGCGAAGCCAACUUCAAGAUAAGAUUUCCCACCGCAAGGGUAAGACCCCAGAAAGACUAUCUGGUUGA
rnacentral:rRNA from 1 species